rnacentral:pre_miRNA from 1 species
UAAUCUCAGCUGGCAACUGUGAGUGUUUAAUAGUUUCCCCCACAGUGGUCACUGGGAUUAUG